UACAGAGGGUGCAAGCGUUGCUCGGAUUUACUGGGCGUAAAGCGUACGCAGACGGCCACGCAGGUCGGGUGUGAAAGCCCAGGGCUCAACCCUGGAACAGCAUUCGAAACCAUGUGGCUUGAGGAUGGGAGAGGAGAGCGGAAUUCCCGGUGUAGAGGUGAAAUUCGUAGAUAUCGGGAGGAACACCAGUGGCGAAAGCGGCUCUCUGGCCCAUUUCUGACGUUCAGGUACGAAAGCGUGGGGAGCAAACAGG
rnacentral:rRNA from 1 species